rnacentral:rRNA from 1 species
UACGUAGGGUGCAAGCGUUAAUCGGAAUUACUGGGCGUAAAGCGUGCGCAGGCGGCUUUGCAAGUCAGAUGUGAAAGCCCCGGGCUCAACCUGGGAACUGCAUUUGUGACUGCAUGGCUAGAGUGCGGCAGAGGGGGAUGGAAUUCCGCGUGUAGCAGUGAAAUGCGUAGAUAUGCGGAGGAACACCGAUGGCGAAGGCAAUCCCCUGGGCCUGCACUGACGCUCAUGCACGAAAGCGUGGGGAGCAAACAGG